UACGGAGGAUGCGAGCGUUAUCCGGAUUUAUUGGGUUUAAAGGGUGCGCAGGCGGCACGGCAAGCCGGCGGUCAAAUCGCGGGGCUCAACCCCGCCCAGCCGUCGGAACUGCCGGGCUAGAGUGGGCGAGAAGUGCGCGGAAUGCGUGGUGUAGCGGUGAAAUGCAUAGAUAUCACGCAGAACUCCGAUUGCGUAGGCAGCGCACCGGCGCCCUACUGACGCUCAGGCACGAAAGCGUGGGUAUCGAACAGG
rnacentral:rRNA from 1 species